rnacentral:rRNA from 1 species
GUGCGCAGAAGGGUCUGGGCUCGAGCCUGCCUGGAGCCGCCGCCGGUGCAGAUCUUGGUGGUAGUAGCAAAUACUCCAGCGAGGCCCUGGAGGACUGAUGUGGAGAAGGGUUUCGUGUGAACAGCCGUUGCACACGAGUCAGUCGAUCCUAAGCCCUAGGAGAAAUCCGACGCCUACGGCGACGGGAUUUUUGAAAAUUUUAAUAACCCGUUGAUCGGGCGAAAGGGAAUCCGGUUCCUAUUCCGGAACCCGGCAGCGGAACCGCUGUUUGUCGGGCCCUCACAAGGGGUUCGUCAGGGUAACCUAAAAGGGCCCGGAGACGCCGUCGGGAGCCCCGGAAAGAGUUUUCUUUUCUGCAUGAGCGUUCGAGUUCCCUGGAAUCCUCUCGCAGGGAGAUAGGGUUUGGAACGCGAAGAGCACCGCAGUUGCGGCGGUGCCCGGGAAUUCCCGACGGACCUUGAAAAUCCGGGAGAGGGCCACGUGGAGGUGUCGCGCCGGCUCGUACCCAUAUCCGCAGCAGGUCUCCAAGGUGAAGAGCCUCUAGUCGAUAGAAUAAUGUAGGUAAGGGAAGUCGGCAAAUCGG